rnacentral:rRNA from 1 species
CACGUAGGGGGCGAGCGUUGUCCGGAUUUAUUGGGCGUAAAGAGCUCGUAGGCGGCUCGGUAAGUCGGGUGUGAAACCUCCAGGCUCAACCUGGAGACGCCACUUGAUACUGCUGUGGCUAGAGUCCGGUAGGGGAGUGUGGAACUCCUGGUGUAGCGGUGAAAUGCGCAGAUAUCAGGAAGAACACCAGCGGCGAAGGCGGCACUCUGGGCCGGAACUGACGCUGAGGAGCGAAAGCGUGGGUAGCAAACAGG